rnacentral:rRNA from 1 species
CCCGUGUUUAUUUACCUUGUUGCUUCGGCGGGCCCGCCUUAACUGGCCGCCGGGGGGCUCACGCCCCCGGGCCCGCGCCCGCCGAAGACACCCUCGAACUCUGUCUGAAGAUUGUAGUCUGAGUGAAAAUAUAAAUUAUUUAAAACUUUCAACAACGGAUCUCUUGGUUCCGGCAUCGAUGAAGAACGCAGCGAAAUGCGAUACGUAAUGUGAAUUGCAAAUUCAGUGAAUCAUCGAGUCUUUGAACGCACAUUGCGCCCCCUGGUAUUCCGGGGGGCAUGCCUGUCCGAGCGUCAUUGCUGCCCUCAAGCACGGCUUGUGUGUUGGGCCCCGUCCUCCGAUUCCGGGGGACGGGCCCGAAAGGCAGCGGCGGCACCGCGUCCGGUCCUCGAGCGUAUGGGGCUUUGUCACCCGCUCUGUAGGCCCGGCCGGCGCUUGCCGAUCAACCCAAAUUUUUAUCCAGGUUGACCUCGGAUCAGGUAGGGAUACCCGCUGAACUUAAGCAUAUCAUAAGGCGGAGG